AACAGGAGUUUUGAAGUCCACAAGAACCUAGGUUAAUAUCUGGCCUUUACUACUUAUUAUCUAUGGGACUUUGUUCCAGAACAAUCAUUUCUAUCUUCAUUUUUCUUUUGAGUACAUUUUAGAUAAUUAAACUGUUAAGAUGGAAGUCAAGAUUAAAGGGUAAUAGUCCUUGGUGCAUUGUAGGUGUAUAAAUGUUGGCUUGUUUCAUUAUGACUACUUCUUUACCUGACUAUGAGUGGCAAAAAAGACAGAAACCAUGUCAGUAACAAGAGAUGGUGUGAUUAGAAAACUAUGUAUGGGUUCAUGGUAGCUAUGCCUUGCAGAACUAUCACAGCAGCCUUUGUCUCAUAGGUAGCAGAGAAAACAGACUAUGCAGUUCUGAAACUUAAAUACUAAAUUUGGAAGGUUGUCCUAUGUAUCGAAUAGACUUGUGAGUCCAUGAAGAUAUUGCAGGAGACUAAUAAAAUAGCUCUACUCUGGGAAAUUAAUAGAUUCUGUUCUGCUUGUUCUGUCCACACUAUACUCUAAAAAAUACUGCAUGAUAAGGUUGCUGAUUGUGUAAAGGGCUCUUGUAGUAGCACUCUGGAACUGUGAAGUGGGGCAAACAAUGUAUCUUAAUUUAUAACCACUCAGCAAAUGUAAAAUGGUAGGAGAUUCACUUUUUCUGGGUAGUUCUGAGCUUUUUCUUCUCUUUUGCAGAGAGAAUUCAGCUCACUAUGAUUUCUGCAAUAUACAAUUAUGGGAAAUCAUGUUUGGAUUGACACUGCAGACAGAAAUGGCAUGCAUGAUUCCUGUUUGGACAGGAAUAGCUGUUGGGGAGGAAGCCAACCUUGAAUGACACUGAAGAGCAACAUAAUGAAGCAUGAAUUGACAGGCAUCCUUCACGUUGCUUCUGGCUUCCCGUGUAAAAAGCCAUAUCUGAGCGCAGCUCUUAUGGGGCCAGAUCCAGGGGAGGAGAAAGGAAGUGAGGCCCAGAAAAAAUACAUUGUCAUGGAGGAGUGAAACUGAAGACAAAACAAAAAGGACUUUCCACAACUAGGCCCCUGGCUUACACUGCAAUGGAAGAAGAGGAGCAGAAAUACUGCCAAAGAUCCUUAUGAUGGCAUUGCAUUUUAGACUGCUUUUCAACUGAUUAUGACAGUAUCAACAAAAGAAACUUUCAUUUGAGGGACAUGGAUGGAGCUGGAGGCCAUUAUCCUUAGCAAG
rnacentral:lncRNA from 1 species